UUCAGGUGGCGGCUUCCUGAGGUGGCGGUGAUAGUGGCUCUGUGUGCAGUUUCCCGGAGCCCUGGUGGCGCUCUCCCGAGCAGAGUCCGACAGGAAUGACAGAAUGGGCGCUCGAGUGUGAAAAGAGGGUGAACUCACGUGUGUGCAACAUUGAGCCAACUUCCGCGCUGUGCUCGUCCCUCUCGGCAUGACUCACCGCUCUUCCCCCUCCAGUUUCCGGUGCACAGAAAGGAAGUGAGGUCCUGGAGAAAAUCGUCGUGAAGUCGAGUUGUUAAAGUGCUCAAUAAGCACUGAAAGUCCUGCAUCCUGGGAAACCCCCUCACUACUGGGCAAUCUGUGACAGUUGGACAUCCUACCUAGGAGUGUAGAAUUUCCUAUUGGUCUUCCCUUUGAUC